AUUGAACGCUGGCGGCAGGCCUAACACAUGCAAGUCGAGCGGCAGCGGAAAGUAGCUUGCUACUUUGCCGGCGAGCGGCGGACGGGUGAGUAAUGUCUGGGAAACUGCCUGAUGGAGGGGGAUAACUACUGGAAACGGUGGCUAAUACCGCAUAACGUCGCAAGACCAAAGUGGGGGACCUUCGGGCCUCACGCCAUCGGAUGUGCCCAGAUGGGAUUAGCUAGUAGGUGGGGUAAUGGCUCACCUAGGCGACGAUCCCUAGCUGGUCUGAGAGGAUGACCAGCCACACUGGAACUGAGACACGGUCCAGACUCCUACGGGAGGCAGCAGUGGGGAAUAUUGCACAAUGGGCGCAAGCCUGAUGCAGCCAUGCCGCGUGUGUGAAAAAGGCCUUCGGGUUGUAAAGCACUUUCAGCGAGGAGGAAGGCAUCAUACUUAAUACGUGUGGUGAUUGACGUUACUCGCAGAAGAAGCACCGGCUAACUCCGUGCCAGCAGCCGCGGUAAUACGGAGGGUGCAAGCGUUAAUCGGAAUUACUGGGCGUAAAGCGCACGCAGGCGGUUUGUUAAGUCANAUGUGAAAUCCCCGCGCUUAACGUGGGAACUGCAUUUGAAACUGGCAAGCUANA
rnacentral:rRNA from 1 species